GAAAAACGAAACUAAAACUGGUGAUGAUGAAGAGAAGUGUGCCCAAAAAUGAAACCCAAGGCUGCCUCUCCCUUCUGGUCCUUUUUGCUGCUCUUUCUAUGGACUGCAACGAGCGCAGGUUUGAGGGUCACAGUUUCUCCAUCUGUAAUCCAUGCCAAACCAGGCUCUGAUGUAAUGUUGCUUUGUCAUAUCUCUGGCACGCCAAAGCCCAUAGACUUAAAAAGCCUGGCUGUGAAUUGGUUGAAGGGCUCAAAUGUCAUUGCUACGUAUGAAGAUAAAUUUGAGACAAACAGGACAGGGGCACAGAUGGCAACUGAGAAGCUGGAACAGGAGGGAGAUGCCACUCUCUUGCUACCACAUGUACAAGAUACGGAUGAUGGUGUUUAUACUUGUUCUGUUAUCUAUGUCCCUGACACUGCAGAAGCCAAGGUGGAACUGAGAGUAGAAGUUCCCCCACAACUAACGCAUGGCCCCACAAAACUACAGUUGGGCAAACCAAGCAAUGUGACCUGCUUGGCAUCUGGUUUUUAUCCUGGUGAUAUCUCUGUGACAUGGCUGCAAGACAGCAAGGUUGUGAAAGGUCCAGAACAGGUCAUUGCUCAUCUCACCCCUGAGGGGCUGUUCAAUGCAGAGAGUGUACUGGAGCUCAUACCACAAAUUAUUGAUGACAAUGCCACCAUCUCCUGCCAGGUCAAUCACAAAGCAAUCAAAGAGCCACUUAGAGAAAAUUUUCAGCUGCAGGUACAAGCUCAACCAAUCAUUGAGGUGGUUACUGUGCCAUCAGAGAAGACAUUCUGUGCUGCCCAAUGCCUAGUCAACAGCUUUUACCCUAGCGCAAUUAACAUACAGUGGCUGCGAAAUGGGAUACCACAGGAGCUGUUCAAGACUGAGACAAAGACCAUGACAAAUGGCACAUUCUCCAUUAAGAGUGCUGUUUUCCUAUUGGACGUGGAUGUUAAAGUCACUUAUACCUGUCGUGUACAGCAUGAAUCUUUGGCUAUCCCACAGGAAAAGGAAGUCCUCUUGCAACCAAAAGACUCAUCCACUUUAGAGACUUCUGUGUCACAUCUUUCUUGGCUGUAUGGAAUUAUUGGAUUCAUUUCGGGACUUGUUCUAGGAGCUGGAGCAGUACUACUCAUCUUUAAAAAUAAAGCUAAAAACACAACAGUUCCAGGAAGCAAAAGUGAAGGUCUUCUUAAAAAUACUGAUGAGGAGAUGAAUCAGGACACUUCAAAGCUUAAGACAGAAAAGACUGACGUUCGGCUAGGCUCCUCAAGAGGCCACCUGGAAAAGGGUGACAAACAGCAUAAUCAGAAUAUGCAAAAAGACAGGACAGAAGAGCCACAUGAGACUUCUACUUCAAUGCUAUAGAAGCAAAUGAAGAAUUUUUUUUCAUAUGCAAAAGGGGUAUUGUAAUAUGGAUAUGCAAAAGGGGUAUUAUAACAAAGGGAUAUUGUAGCACUGUAGAAAUAAUGCAGUUUGACACCACUCUAACAGUCAUGUAGUUUUGUGAGGCACCAGAACUCUUUGGUAGAGAAGGCUAAAUUCUUGUAAAACUACAAACCCCAGGAUUCCAUGGGAUACAGCUACAACACUUAAAGUAGUGUCAAACUGAACUAUUACUAUGGUGUAGAUGCACCCUAACCAAGAGAACGAAAGACGUUAAUACCAUAAGCUUUCAUAGACUUCACUCUACUUCUUCAGAUGCGUGGAGUGAAGUGUUCAGGAACAGACUUGACCAUGAGUGAACAGUGUGAUGCAGCAGCUAAAAAAACCAAUGCAAUUUUAGGCUACAUCAAUAGAAUUAUAGUGUAGAGAUUUCAAGAGAAGUAA